UACGUAGGGUGCAAGCGUUGUCCGGAAUCAUUGGGCGUAAAGAGCGUGUAGGCGGCUCGGUAAGUCCGCUGUGAAAGUCCAGGGCUCAACCCUGGAAUGCCAGUGGAAACUGUUGAGCUAGAGUCCGGAAGAGGCGAGUGGAAUUCCUGGUGUAGCGGUGAAAUGCGCAGAUAUCAGGAGGAACACCAAUGGCGAAGGCAGCUCGCUGGGACGGUACUGACGCUGAGACGCGAAAGCGUGGGGAGCAAACAGG
rnacentral:rRNA from 1 species